rnacentral:rRNA from 1 species
UACGUAGGGUGCAAGCGUUUAAUCGGAAUUACUGGGCGUAAGGCGUGCGCAGGCGGCUUUGCAAGACAGAUGUGAAAUCCCCGGGCUUAACCUGGGAACUGCAUUUGUGACUGCAUGGCUGGAGUGCGGCAGAGGGGGAUGGAAUUCCGCGUGUAGCAGUGAAAUGCGUAGAUAUGCGGAGGAACACCGAUGGCGAAGGCAAUCCCCUGGGCCUGCACUGACGCUCAUGCACGAAAGCGUGGGGAGCAAACAGG